rnacentral:misc_RNA from 1 species
ACAGAAGUACGAGAGUGCCAAAUAUACAGAUCUGCUGUUACUGCUGCACACUAUUGAUAUUUCACCUCUAGUCCGUGUGUGCCGUAGUCUUUUUUAGACAUUUGCAGGCUGAAGUUGUUACUUGUGGAAUUCCCCUGCACGUGUUUGUGUGUGAUUUUCUUAGGGCUUCUUUAAUUUAUUCUUUUGCUGAUUCUUUCCUUUAAACAUCCCAUCGAGAUGGCCAACACAAUUACUCAGAAGGACACAACAUUUACUAAAAUCUUUGUUGGGGGACUACCUUACCAUACCACUGACAAAUCGCUACGAGAAUUCUUUGACAAGUUUGGAGAAAUCGAGGAAGCUGUUGUCAUCACAGACAGACAGACCGGCAAAAGCCGUGGCUAUGGAUUUGUAACAAUGGCCAAUAGAGAGGCAGCAGAAAGAGCAUGCAAAGAUCCUAACCCCAUCAUUGACGGCAGGAAAGCCAAUGUGAACUUGGCCUACCUAGGGGCCAAACCAAGAGGUAUUCCUCUAGCCAUAAAAGGUGUACCAGGUCUCCUGCCAGGCCAAUUUGGAGGAUAGCCGAUUUUGUUACCAUGAGGCGAAGUCUUUCUGGUCUAUAUCAAGAGAUGCUGUUACAAUGCAUCCCAAAAUUAUGGAAGCUUAGGAUAUUGGUGAUUAAAUUUUGGCAGUGUUUUUACCGUUUGAAGUGUAUUUUUUGGUCAUUUGUUUAUUUCUUUACAAACUUUCGUUCUUUUUUUUUUUGCUUGACAAUACGUGUGAUUCCUCUUGUUUCCAAGACAAUGUGAUAUGAGCAGUCCAAUCAGAGCACCUGUAAUCAAAUUGUGAUCACGUGAUCACUUACAUCCGGGUUUCAGGUGUGCUGAAAAGGACAAUGUUUAGAGUCUGCUCUGACUUUUUGUGUGCAAAUCGAUCAUGUCACACCACACUCAAAUUGACUUGAUUUUGUUUAUUUUUUCCCGUGUGGUGUUUUUGCCAAUGGUCAGUGAGUGACGUGGGGUUUUUUGCACUGAUGAAAUACUUUUUUUGAACAGUACCAAAAUCAUUACUUUUUAACAUAACUGUAGCAUACGUAUCGCCCCCUGUAUAAUAAUACUAACACUGGUGAAUUGUAUUUCUUAAUUUUUCAAAGUAUUGAACACAUGUCGUAGAGUUCUCUAAUGAACAUUUUCACCUUU